GACGAACGCUGGCGGCGUGCCUAAUACAUGCAAGUUGAGCGCUGAAGGUUGGUACUUGUACCAACUGGAUGAGCAGCGAACGGGUGAGUAACGCGUGGGGAAUCUGCCUUUGAGCGGGGGACAACAUUUGGAAACGAAUGCUAAUACCGCAUAAAAACUUUAAACACAAGUUUUAAGUUUGAAAGAUGCAAUUGCAUCACUCAAAGAUGAUCCCGCGUUGUAUUAGCUAGUUGGUGAGGUAAAGGCUCACCAAGGCGAUGAUACAUAGCCGACCUGAGAGGGUGAUCGGUCACAUUGGGACUGAGACACGGCCCAAACUCCUACGGGAGGCAGCAGUAGGGAAUCUUCGGCAAUGGACGAAAGUCUGACCGAGCAACGCCGCGUGAGUGAAGAAGGUUUUCGGAUCGUAAAACUCUGUUGGUAGAGAAGAACGUUGGUGAGAGUGGAAAGCUCAUCAAGUGACGGUAACUACCCAGAAAGGGACGGCUAACUACGUG
rnacentral:rRNA from 1 species